rnacentral:lncRNA from 1 species
GGCGGAGGUUGCAGUUGCAGUUGCAGUGAGCUGAGAUCACGCCACUGCACUCCACUUGGGCGACAGAGCGAGACUCUGUCUCCAAAAAAUAAAUUAGUAAAUAAAAGAUAUGAGUAAAGAUUGCCAAGAAGUUCAUUGGCGGCCUCUGUUUUGUUUUUUGUUUUGUUUUGUUUUGUUUUGUUUUGUUUUUGAACAGUUGCCAGUAGUCAUCAGAGUACCAAAACUGAUCUAUUUCUCAGUAAUGAGUGUGUGCCUCAUGCCUGUUUCAAUAUUGGGUUUUGGAGACAUUAUUGUACCAGGCCUGUUGAUUGCAUACUGUAGAAGAUUU